ACCCCUUUUUUGUCUUGACAUAUUCCCUUCUCUUGGAAACCGUUGAUUUUCUGCAAAAAGUGUUUCUGGUUCACAUAUCAAAGCUCAUCCAACGGUUACUUUUGCUCAAGAAAAGUUUACCUAGCAGCUUAGAUUCGAGGGUCUUUGAGAAUGUAGUUUCCUUGGAAGAGAGCAAGAAUACAAAUGGAAGAAGAUGGCUAUUACGAUGGUGAUGGGUCAUAUGGAGAAGAAGAAGAUGAUGAAAAGGCUGGGUUUUUAAUCUUACUGAAUAAGGGGCAUGUUAGGUUGUCUCCUCUAAUACAUACAUAAUUGGAUUUAGGGUGACCAUUCGAUCAAGUCGAGUCGGAUCGAGUAAAAAAAUUUCGAGUUAGUCGAGUUGACGAAUCUUAUUUUAACAACCGAACGCAAUUUGAAUUUUUUUCGAAUCGGAUCGAAUCGAGUCAAAAAAUUUCGAGUCAAGUCGAGUCGAGUUAAUGAAUCCUAUUAUUUGUACUCAAUGUGAACCGAUUAUUUAACUAGGAAACGAAGUAUAAAA